GGCGCUUCUAUUUCAGAGGCAACAUGGCCACGGUAGAAGGAACACGUGAACGUAAAAAAACACCCGAAAAUGCGCAUUUUCUUGGUCAGAGCCGCAUUUUUCCCCGUAGAAGAGUGGAUAAGUGCCUUCGUCAUUGAACAUCCGACUUAGGCUUGACAAGUGCUGGGAGAAAAUGAAGUACCAGGAAUGAGAAGAGGAUGACAACUCACACAAGUCCUUAUUCAAGGUAGCCCCAAGGCCAGACUAUGCUGACAGCAUAGCCCAGUCUCCAGCCAUGAAAAGCAGAGGUUCACUGUUAUCUGGGGAACAUGAAAUUAGGAAUACUUUAGAUCCAGGUCAUACUGCUGUCCAUGGUGGCUACUAAGAGAGUCCUGUCAGAAUGUGGAUAGUGUCCAACUCCAACUUCCUCAAUGUCCAUGCCAGGUUCUGUGAUGUCCCAGAGUUGACUCACUAGCUAGAUUUUUACAUCACCACUGCUAGCUGCAGUUCAGUUUCCCCUAGUAAAUGAACUUGUCACCUUGCAUGUUAUUCCACAUAUCACUGCCUCCUAGCAUCAUGAUAUGACAAAUGUUCAGACAGUCUGUUGACAGAUUAAAAGAGGAAUUUUGCUUCUGUGAAGUAACCUUUUUAACUCACUUAUCUUGUUGCAUUGUAUAAAUUAGUUCAUGAUCCUUGUAGAGACUUGUUUUGAAUAAAGGAUGCAGCAUGCAA